GAGCAGAGAGAAGUUGAGUGGCCCAGCAGUCUCUAUCUAAGAGUUGUCUGCUUUUGAUACCGAAGUGUUUCACAUUCUAGGAAGAUGGCAGCUGCGCGGCAACCAUAGCCAUGGCAGCCUGGGAGCUACAUCUGCCGAGUCUGCUUGAAGAUGAAGGAGGCUGUGGUGCUUAAUUUCCCAUAUCAUGUGCUAUGGAUUCCUCUUUGGAAGCUUUUCCUAUCAUCCUGAAAGACUCCACCAACUACUAAUAUUUGCUGGUUAUACAAGUUCAUGGCUACUCAAGCAGUCAGAUAGCCAACACCAACCACUAAACGGAAGUUAAACAUCUUUCAGGAAUCAGUUAAAUACAGCUUGGGUUCCUCCUUGCUGGAUGGAAAGUUGGAUUUAAAAUGUCUGAGUUUGGCAUUAAUUCAGAGGAGAAGGCAGUAUUGAGGAGCCAGACAAUAGCAAGUAUGACAUCUCCACCACAUUUGACUUAUAUCAAAGUAAAGUCCUACACAGCUCUAAAUGGAAAGUCUCCAUCAAAUCCACCCCUCAGAGCUCAGGGCUCCCCACAGAAGAGGUGGAGACAGUGCAAGAGCCAAUGGGGACAGAGGACACCAGAACAGUCUGAAUCAACUGAGAGACGAUCAUAAGAAUUUACAGAGACUGAAGCAGCACGCUCAGGUCCUACAUGGGUCUGCACCAGGUCCUUUGUGUAAAUAUUAUAGCUUUCAAUGUAAUGCUUAUACGGAGCUCUGGAGUGUGUGACUGAGUGGAUCUCUGUCUCCUGUGCCUUCUCGUGGGCUCCUUUUCUUCAGUUGGCUUGCUUUGUCCAACUUUAAUGUGAUGGUUUUGUUUUACUUUAUUGUAUUUUCUUCUGUUGCAUCUUGUUCUCUCUCAGACGCCUGUUCUUUUCUAAUGAGAGACAGAAAGAAGAUGGAUUCAAAAAGGAGAAGAGGUGGGGUAGAACUAGGAGAAGUAGAGAGAUGGGGGCUAAUAAGGUUGUAUUGUAUGAGAAAAGAAUCUAUUUUUAAUUAGAAGAAAAAACUUAUAAAGGGCUUAUGCUUUCUGGGUUCCCCUCUGUCUUGUAGGGAGUCUUUUUCUCUGUGUGCCUGCAGUAUUUGUACAUUUACUUGCCUCUAAUAAAACUUUCCUUUGGCUGGG